rnacentral:rRNA from 1 species
AUGCAGAAAAAUGGUGUGAAUUGUGGUGUUGUAGAGUGGGUUGAUGGGCCUUGGCCAACUAUUCUUCAGAGAUGUUUGUGCAAGCUAUGGGAGAUGUUCCAUGAGCAGAACUUUGGAAGGGUACAGGACAAGGAGAAGUUUGAGAUGGAGUUGGCCAGGCUUAAGACUGAAAAUGACAAGCUUUGCAUUGAGUACACCCAGCUUGUUGAUGAUGUAUCCAAGAUGUUUGAUUGGCAGGAUGGUAGGGUGGACAAGCAGGUGUACCAGAAACAAGUGGAAGAGGAAGAACUUGAGAAGAAGAAGAAGGAGCUAGAGGAGAAAGCUAAGUUGGAGGUGCAGAUGGAAAAGCUUAAACUUGCAAAAGAGCAGAGGUGCAUUUUGCAGAGCCAAGCUGAUAUCAUCAAGAACACCAGGAAGGCUAUGAAGGAUGUUCAAGUUGACAGAGAUGUUCUUAAGAAGGAGAAGGCAAAGCUUGAGCUUGUUGUUGCUGAGCUGCUAAAAGAAGGGUAUGGCAGCAAGGAGAAGUUAGAGCAAAUCAAGGCCAUCCUUGAGUCUUGA